UGAAUACAAGAGCAUCAGCUAUGCUAAUACCUCUACUCCUAAGAUUACAAACUAGAUUUUGAAAUAUAUCAAUUUGUUCUAUUACUAACUUUUCCAUCUACGAGAGUAUCUGUAGACCCUCCAUUUUGUCCAUUUAACACAUGUCUUUAAGUUCACUUCCAAUGCUCCACAGUAGUUUCUUGGUGGCCCAUUGCUACUCAUAGAUUAUCUUUUCUGAGCCACUUUGGAGACUUUGGUUGAGGGGUUUAUCUAGCUCCACAUUAUGACAUUGGCUGCCCUUCAAGUUCAGAUUAGGCUUCACUUAGGUGUACUUUAGGUUAGAUUUAGUUAGGCCCACCUAGUCUCACCCUAGGCCCGUAUAGGUAUACCCGACCCAUUUAGACACCUUAGGCCCGUUUAGGUUCACC
rnacentral:lncRNA from 1 species